UCAACAUACCAUUAGGAACCAAAAUAAACUAAAAUUACUAAAUUAAACAACUUGCUUACCUCAAAUCUACACUUUCUCUCACUAGAUCCUCUCUCUAACCCAAGCUGCUACAAGUGAAAUGGUCCAAAACAAGCUAUAGGCCCUUAUAAAGGGCUCUCCAUGCAACCAAAUAGGAGGUGGCAGGCCACAUGGCUGCCACCAACCCCAACUUCCCAAUUUUGCACUUUAGUCCUUCAAGUUAUCAAAAAUUAAAC
rnacentral:lncRNA from 1 species